GACGAACGCUGGCGGCGUGCUUAACACAUGCAAGUCGAGCGGAAAGGCCCUGCGUUUGUGGCGUUCUCGAGUGGCGAACGGGUGUGUAACACGUGAGUAACCUGCCCUUGUCUUUGUGAUAACUUCACGAAACUGGGGCUAAUACCCGAUAGAAGCUCCUGCUGCAUGGGGGGGGUUGGAAAGUUUCGGCGGUUGGGGAUGGACUCGCGGCUUAUCAGCUUGUUGGUGGGGUAGUGGCUUACCAAGGCUUUGACGGAUAGCCGGCCUGAGAGGGUUACCGGGGACAUUGGGACUGAGAUACGGCCCAGACUCCUACGGGAGGCAGCAGUGGGGAGUAUUGCACAAUGGGCGGAAGCCUGAUGCAGAAACGCCGCGUGCGGGAUGACGGCCUUUGGGUUGUAAACCGCUUUCGAAGGUGACGAAGCGGGAGUGACGGUAAUGGGUAAAGAAGCAACGGCUAACUACGUG
rnacentral:rRNA from 1 species